UAAAAACUGGCCUCAGGUGGUCUUGGACACUUUCUGAAGAAUGAAAGAUCGGUGUGCCACUUUUCCUCAUCUCUUAUCAUGGAGCUCCCUGUGUAUGAGACACCUUAACACACUGCCUAUAUAGCAGUCUUUAAGCCAAGGGAAUGGGACCUUUCAGAAUGGCACCUUGCUUAACUGAGUGGUUGUGCUGACUGAAUUUUUCCAUUGCUGAAGAAUCCAUCAGAGCCUCUGAACCUUCAUAACCUUCACAGAGCUGCAGAGGUGGCUGAAAUAUCCAGUACUGGCUAAACAGACUACUUCAGCAAAUCAAUUAGGUGACUAUUUAGUAAUUCUUAUUCAUAGGUUUAGACUAUUUCAGCUUACGAAAUCCCUCACGACAGAGUUGUUAAUAGGCUCAGGUGGUCCAUUCUAAUGAAUAUAUUAGUCUAUAGGACCAAGUUUUUAAGUAUAUUUUCUGUGCCAGUAAAGCUAUCACUAUUUUUCAGGAGUUGAAUCAUGAUUUUUUGAGAUUUCUGCUGAUGUUGUUGAAGGAGAAGAAUAUAGGCCAGGUUGUAACUACCUUAAAAUAUUCACGUAUCAUUCUCAUAUCUGACAGAGCCCAUCAGCAGAAAGUUGUGUGGCAGUUCAGCUUUGCCUGUCAGAGCAAGUUUGACUGAUAGGUGAGGGAAAUUCACUGUUAAUAAUAAUAAUAAAUAAUAAUAUGAAGAUCCUUUAGGUCUAGUUGGAAGUAGCAGCUGACCUGCCAACUCUUUUUUCGCUAGUUUGUAAAGAAAUUUAAGAUAGAUCUAAUAUACCUUUUUUUAAUAUUAAAAUAGAUAUUAGUGGAUAAAUUGGGUUGGUAUAAUGUGCUUUUUCCAUGAAAGAAGCUCUGUCAAAUGCAUUUUUUGGUGAAAAAUCUCAUGGCUCCAGUUAUUCUUGAUGUAGAGUUCUUGAUCUGUGGAGCCCUGGGUAGUAAAGCUCGGUAUGUAGCACACACAGAUGGCUUUUAGAAAUGUUUUUACAUCUUCUCUCUGAAGCCUACCCUUCAUGAGAUAGGCUUCAAAUAAUUGGGUUCAAUUCUGAAAUACAGAAGGCAGUCCUGAACUGUUUUGAGCACUGUCAAAUCCUAGUAACAUCAGCGGGAGAGCCAGAAGUUCUCACAGUGAGCUCUGAGCAAGAAGGAAACAUACUCUUUGUGCAGUUCCUUUCGAUUUCAGCAGGCUUGCAAUAUUUGCCCACAUAUAGAAGUUCUCAUUGGUUUGAUCUUGGUGAAAAUGUGUACUGUAUAGCCCUUCUCAAAUAUUUUAGAGAAACAUGGGAGGAGGAGAAUCUUUGAUAUGAAUCACAUUCUGCACCUUCUUGCAAAGUUGGUCAUUGAGUCUUAGCACUAGCAGGGCAAAAUAGAGCUGAUGUAAGAUGAUGACUGUGUUUUCAAAGGUAAUGUUUACAGUAACAGUUCUUCACUUUCCUACAUAUCAUUGCAAAACAUUUGUGAAGUGUAUCUCUUGGAUGCAAAGUGCUGAGAAGCAAUGGUAACGAAGGAUGGGGAAAAAAGUAAUUAAAAAGCUGAGCAUAUAUAUGCUAGAUAUGGAUGAAGAUAGUAUAAUCCGGUGCUUUCUGUUAUAGAGAUCCCAUUUGAAAUUGUAUACAACUUAGAAUUUAGAAGUAUUUGUGGUAGACUUCUUCAAGCCAAACAUCUGCCUCAGGCUGCGUUAUGGGGAAGUUUCAAGUUGGUUCAUUUCUGAAACUGAGUCUAAGGAGUAAAGUGUUUUGCUCAUAUUGAAAUAAAUGCAUAUCUGUUUUAUUUUUGAAGCUCCAGCCUGUGUUUUCAAGCAGAGACUUUAAAUUUGUCAGGGCAUCCAUCCAUGUCUACAAUUAGCUAUGUUAAAUUCUGCAUUUUUUGCUCAAGUUGGGCACCUCUGAAAACGUGAACUCUCUCACUCAUCAGGCACUCAUUGUCAAAGCCUAAUGGCUGAGCUGAAGAUUCACAGAGGUGUUUAGCCUUCUGAUGAACUGUAGGUUUUGGAGGCAAGGGGCAGAUAUUUAGGAAGGAGUGGUAAGCCUAAGUGUAAUUGUGUACAUUGUUCCAAGACCGAAUGUUCUGUCUCACGCAGCAUCUUCUGUCCCUUCGUGUGUUUUUGAUGCUUGCUUAACUGAAGACACUUCAUCUUAGAGCUUUGGUAUCUGAACUGGUCAUUCCCUGUAAUUAAUCUUUCCUAUUGCAGCAGUGUGUGGUGCCAAGACUGAUUUUCCCCUUGCCUUCUCAGGGUUCUUGAUAUUGUAGCCUGAAGGAGAGCUAGUAUGAUUGACAUGCAAGGAGGAUGAGGUUUCAGGCAGUAACCAGAUUAGGGGCCCAAGUAAGGGGGAGGCAAGGAUGGAGAGGUGGAAGCUGGAAGGAGUAGGUGGAAUAGAAAGUAGGAGCAGAUUUUGGAAGAAUAGAAGAGAGAGGAAGGGGGCUGGUGCGUGUGGUGCAUCGGGAAAGAGCAGGUCAGGGGGAGGGCAAGCAGAGCUGAGAUUAAACAGGACCAAGGAGGUGGGAGAACAGGACUGGGCAAGAUGGAUGGAACAGGAGAAAAGGGGAAGUGCUAAAGUGGGUGGAUAUGAAUGAAAAUAGAGACAGGAGCUGUGGCCUGGGGUACUACUUUUUUUUCUCAUCAAGUACAAAUUCCAGGAUGAAAGAGAACCAGGAUUAGGCUUGCUUGAGUUACGUCUGUCGGGCAGAUUAAAUAUUUGUUUGAUGAUGUAUUUGUAAAUACCGGCUUCUGUCAGAUUCUGAUCCUGUUUGAUUUUGUCUAUUAAAAUAUUAUGUGUAUUUUUGGCAUACUACUGUUUUACUGUCUGAGAAUAAAAAAAAAUGUAAUUGUUAGUCUCCUAGUUUGAUUAGAAUAUUACAUGUUAGUAGUUUUACUGAAUUUCUCUUGUGCUUAUUAUUUUUGGUAUUUAAGUGCAAGGCUCUCUGUGUAGACUUUCAGCAGUGAGCCUGCAUAGGUGGUCUUGUUUCUACUAAACAUGAUAGCUGCAAUAGAAAUCUCUUUCUUCUAUGCAAUUGUUGUAAUUCCUUGCUUUUUCUUGCUGUACCCUAGUUGCAGAGAUACUCAAGAGAGGGAAAGUGAGCAUUACAAAAACAUACGUAUGGAUCCAGAUUAAAUAUUUUAUUCCAUGAUCAGCAGUAAAGUGGCCUUUUAGUAAUAAAGCAUGCCUCCGCUAUGGGUCAAAGCUAAACUCAGAGGCAAGGCUCAUCCUCCCCCACCAAUACCAGCAUUACUAAUUAAAUAGCUGCCACGGAGGGUUGUUUGGGAAAGGAGUGCUUGUGUGAGUGGAAGCAGGGGAAUCUUCCUGUUUGAAGACAGUAGACCAGGUUCCCCCACCAGCUGCUGCUCCAGUGUCUUAACUUAUUUGUUCUAUUACCAUAACUUCCCUCUUACCCAUAGCUAACUCCCAGUAAAGGCACCUCACAUCCAGCAGGAAAGGAAAAGAACAGAUAUUCUGCCCUGAAAGUGGUCUGACAGGAUUAGUGUGAAAGCUCUGCAACUGACAUUCCACUUCUCCCCACUCAAGCCUCCCUGCUCUCGCUCAUAAUUUUAUGUUAUUUCCUUAGGCAGCAAGUGGUCUGGGACCUGAAAUAUUGAGUUUAUAUCUAACCAUGGGGAAGAUAUGUGACAGUUGCUUCAAAACAGCUUGUACUGUGCAUCUCCUCACUCAGUCAACUCUCCUUGGUUUUCUGUCUAGUUUCUUAUUGACACUUCUCAUUUCAGAAAGCAAACAACCAGCAUUCUUGAGGAGUACCUGUAGCUUUCUGUUGUCUUUAAAUGGAAUAAUUUUCCCAGAAAAUAAAAUUACUUAAAACUGACAUGCACUCAUUUUGCUAAGAAUGUUGGAGGUGAAGUUUCCCUGGCUGUUGGAUGACAUUGUUCUUCAGACUUGUUAGGAAUGAAAGUGAAAGAUUGUUAGUUGUGGCUUAUUUCUGCAAAACAGUGUAUUUGUACUCUGCCAACUAUGAUUUCAACUGGAAAUAGUUGGUCUGUUUGUGUAUUCAUAUACAUUAACAAAAUAGAAAAAUUAAUAAUUCUAGCAUGCUUACCUCAAGCUGUCUUGUUUUCAGGUGUUCAUAUAUAAAGCUGUCUUAAACCAUCUCAAGAAGUGUGGGCAAAGUUGAGAUUUCCUGUUCUGAGGAUGAAAGCCAGGACAGGGAAGCCAUGCUGCCAUGGGAAGAGGAUAGGGGAAGCACUGAUAUGAGCCGCCCUUUCUUCCUUCUCCAGGUGGCUGCUGCAUAUAUAUUCCAGCUCCUUUUUUUUUAAAAAAAAAAAAAAAAAAAAAAACAAACUCAGUAGGGUAGGAGGAGUUGUCAACACAGCUGUCCUUGCAGAGAUGAGGUGAAGUAGGUGCUGGAACAGUUGUUACACUGCUCCUCCCAGCUGUAUGGUACCCUAUGGGAACUGCU
ensembl:lncRNA